rnacentral:rRNA from 1 species
GAUGAACGCUGGCGGCGUGCCUAAUACAUGCAAGUCGAGCGAACGGACGAGAAGCUUGCUUCUCUGAUGUUAGCGGCGGACGGGUGAGUAACACGUGGAUAACCUACCUAUAAGACUGGGAUAACUUCGGGAAACCGGAGCUAAUACCGGAUAAUAUUUUGAACCGCAUGGUUCAAAAGUGAAAGACGGUCUUGCUGUCACUUAUAGAUGGAUCCGCGCUGCAUUAGCUAGUUGGUAAGGUAACGGCUUACCAAGGCAACGAUGCAUAGCCGACCUGAGAGGGUGAUCGGCCACACUGGAACUGAGACACGGUCCAGACUCCUACGGGAGGCAGCAGUAGGGAAUCUUCCGCAAUGGGCGAAAGCCUGACGGAGCAACGCCGCGUGAGUGAUGAAGGUCUUCGGAUCGUAAAACUCUGUUAUUAGGGAAGAACAUAUGUGUAAGUAACUGUGCACAUCUUGACGGUACCUAAUCAGAAAGCCACGGCUAACUACGUGCCAGCAGCCGCGGUAAUACGUAGGUGGCAAGCGUUAUCCGGAAUUAUUGGGCGUAAAGCGCGCGUAGGCGGUUUUUUAAGUCUGAUGUGAAAGCCCACGGCUCAACCGUGGAGGGUCAUCGGAAACUGGAAAACUUGAGUGCAGAAGAGGAAAGUGGAAUUCCAUGUGUAGCGGUGAAAUGCGCAGAGAUAUGGAGGAACACCAGUGGCGAAGGCGACUUUCUGGUCUGUAACUGACGCUGAUGUGCGAAAGCGUGGGGAUCAAACAGGAUUAGAUACCCUGGUAGUCCACGCCGUAAACGAUGAGUGCUAAGUGUUAGGGGGUUUCCGCCCCUUAGUGCUGCAGCUAACGCAUUAAGCACUCCGCCUGGGGAGUACGACCGCAAGGUUGAAACUCAAAGGAAUUGACGGGGACCCGCACAAGCGGUGGAGCAUGUGGUUUAAUUCGAAGCAACGCGAAGAACCUUACCAAAUCUUGACAUCCUUUGACAACUCUAGAGAUAGAGCUUUCCCCUUCGGGGGACAAAGUGACAGGUGGUGCAUGGUUGUCGUCAGCUCGUGUCGUGAGAUGUUGGGUUAAGUCCCGCAACGAGCGCAACCCUUAAGCUUAGUUGCCAUCAUUAAGUUGGGCACUCUAAGUUGACUGCCGGUGACAAACCGGAGGAAGGUGGGGAUGACGUCAAAUCAUCAUGCCCCUUAUGAUUUGGGCUACACACGUGCUACAAUGGACAAUACAAAGGGCAGCGAAACCGCGAGGUCAAGCAAAUCCCAUAAAGUUGUUCUCAGUUCGGAUUGUAGUCUGCAACUCGACUACAUGAAGCUGGAAUCGCUAGUAAUCGUAGAUCAGCAUGCUACGGUGAAUACGUUCCCGGGUCU